GAAUUCUCACUUCUCCCUCACGCCUGUUUCUUCUCCAUUCUUUGAAAUUCUCCCAGUAAAGACAGAACACAGAAACCAAACAAAGCAUGCUCCUUUUCACUCCUUGCCCGCGUUUCAAAAUUCAUGUCUGCUCCUUUUAUGAUUGCCUCAAAUCUUAUGCUCCUUUCAUCAUCGAGACGACCUCAGGUCCCUUUUUAAAUUCAAAUUCAAAUUUUAAAUGGACCUCUCUCAAAGACUCUCCCCGCUAGCUACUUUCCUCUAGGGGUUUCGGUUUUCAAAUCUAAUCACCCCUCUCUGAUGCUAUGAGCCACUCCUGGAAUGUUACUUAUUAUCUUUAAAUGCAUGCGGGUAAGUUUCUACCAAGAAUUGUGAGCAGAGCAAGUUGGCAUAACCAUUCACGGUGAUGCUGACAAGCUUUUAAGAUAAUUAGGGAAGCAUAUGAUGUACUAUUCGAUUCCGACAAGGUUUGUUUUUAUCACUCCCACUUCCUCUAACAGGUAAAACCCUAAUUUUAUUUUUCAUAAUCAACCACACACAUAUCUAGCAGUAUACGGUCGUCGUCGAGUUUUGAUAUAGAUACCAUUCUUUCUUUAUUCUUUGGGUUCAAGUAUGCAUUAUUAUCAUUUUUGUUCUUUUUAGACAUAUGUGUCAUCGAAGAGAUGUAGUUGCAAGAAAGAGGGGCAAACCAGAAAAAGAAUACAGGGUUAUUUUCGAAUUUAUUUCCAUGUCUUCUUUUUCCUUUGUUUUUCUUAUUUGUCAUGUGGGAUACUUGAUCAUUUCUUAGUGUAUAUUGGUAAGUAUUUUUAAAGUUCAAAUAUAGGUAGUAAGUAAUAUGUUUUUGUCUUAAAGUUCUGCAACUCAAUUAAACACUGAUAUGGGUUCACUCAAGGGUUAUAUUAUUAAAAAAUAUUGAUGAUAUGCAAGAGAAAGUAGCUCGAGCUUACGAGUUGGUGUAUUGGGAUUACUUGACUCAUAUCAACUUCCCAGUAAGAAAGUUUGAAAGAGGUGACUGUAGUUAUUACUUCGACAUAUUAUAAUCAUUUGACGUAUUGUUAUUUUUGUAGCUUCAAAUUUCAACGUUGUUGUUGCUGCUGUUAAGGAUCGAGGAAACUUUGGCUACAUUUAUGUUUAGCAAAGUGUAGGAGUUGUUGGGCAUUCUCAACGACGUUAUCGGUGGAAGGGAUCAACCAGAUUGUGCCAGGAUGAACUAAUGUGGGCUGCUACAUGGUUGUACCAAGCAACCAAGGAUGAGUCCUACUUGAAAUACGUUGUGGAUAAUGCUGCAUCAUGGGAGGUAAUGGAUAAAACAGAGCCUACACUUUUCGGGACUACCCCUCUUAUAGGACUCUUCUCUAAGUUACAUAGCAUCGAUUCAAAGCCUACAGCAUGACCUGCCCCCCGAAGGCACAAACCAAUAUAUGCAAGUAAUGAACAAACCAAACUUAACCAAUUCAUGUUUGCUGAUUUUGCUUCAAAUGGUUGUCAUGUUUCAAAGUACUCCAACAUUAUGGAAAAUAUGAGCGGAAAAUUGUAAAGAAGGGACGGACAGACCAAAAAAGUCUUCUUGCUGUUUUUUUUUUGUUGCCGAUGUUUUGGAGACCAAGAACAAGAACCUCAUAGAUGAGGCUAAGGGCCUAGAUGAUGUUGCGAAUGAAUAUUGAAGUAAGCCUUUCAAGGUUGAUGAUGUUGGGGUCAGAUCUUUUAAAUGAACUCAUGAUCAUGUUUCAUGCUGCAUAUUAAUAUAUUAUUAAGGUGAACUUAUUUUAAACCCAUUUUGGACUUUGUGUUAUCUAGCUUUGUUUAUGCCA